ensembl:lncRNA
UCUAAGAGUUUGUCACAACAACUAAAUAAAGUCUUGGUAAAGCUCUCGUCAGGCCGCGUCUCUGUUGCUUAGGUUUGUUGUCUUCUUGCAGAAUGAACCCACAUUUUUUUCCAUAAAGAAAUCGUUUAAAAAAAAAAAAAAAAAAAAAAAAAAAGGGUUCAUUUUCAGCUAUUCGACACAGAAAUCACGGGGGAUGCAAACUUUUGGACCCAACUUGUUUGUGUUCUAUGUUCACACACUUAAAUAUACUGCAUAUUUAUCAUUUAAGGGCCAAGGCUUUACAUGUAAUGCAGAAAUAUUUUUAAUACAUACCAGGAGGUAAAGUGAGGGAAGUGAGAGAGGAAGUGGGAGAGUGAGUAAGGAACUGAAUUAAAGAAGAAAGUGAAGAUGUUAAUGAUAGAUGAAAGAAGCCAGAGAGGUGAGUAAAGGAGCAACAGUGAGGGAGGAAAAACAGAAGUGGAAGUAUCUAGUGAGGGAGGGAGCGAGUGAUAAAAGGGUGUAAGUGAUAAAGGAAGGAAAUGAGAGAGGGAACAAACUAGGGAGGAGGAGGAACCAAGGGAAUGAGGGAGUAAUGUGAAGCAUAGGAUUUAGCGAGUUAGAGAGGAGGGUGUAAGUGGUAGAGUGACUCAGUAGGGUGUAUAUGGAUUAGUGAAUAAAGGAAUGAAGUGGGAAGAGAAGGAGGAAGAGGUGAAUGAGGGAGUGAGUAGGGUACAAGUGAGUAAGUGAAUUCGAGUGUAAAUGAGUAGGAAAUGAGAGUGAGUAGACAGUAGGGAGUGAUUAGUGUAGGGAGCGAGUAGGGUGUAGAGAGAGUACGGUGCAGGGAAUGAGUAGGGUGUAGCAAGUGUGUAGAGUUUAGGGAGUGAGUAGGGUGUAGGGAGUGAGGAGUGAGGAGGUUAUAGGGAGUGAGGAGGUUAUAAGGAGUAGGGAGUGAGUAGGGUAUAAUGGUAUAGGGAGUGAGUAGGGUGUAGG